rnacentral:lncRNA from 1 species
GGAGAGAAAGGGGACAUGGGAAAUAUUGGAAAAGUUGGACCACAAGGUCCAGCAGGCCUGAUUGGGAUAGCUGGGGUGAUAGGGGUUCCUGGUGAAAAGGGUGACCGGGGACCACCAGGUCCAACAGGUCCAGCCGGAGAGAAGGGGCCCAGGGGUUAUCCAGGGUUGCCAGGAAGCCCAGGGGACAUCGGCAUGCAAGGUGCACCUGUAAGUGGAGCAACAAAAACAUUCAUGAUUUCAUGCACAACUCCCUAUAUGUGUAUUUUUUGUCACCAAUUUCCUUUGCUGAGUUCUUUUUGCUUCCUGUGUAUUAAUGAAUCUCAUCUUCUGUACCAAGUGUCUCAGCUGGAUGUCUGUAAAUACCUAAAUUGCAAGAUUUUCUUGGGCCCUUAA